AUAAAAAAUGUGUUUCAUGCGAAAAAUACGAGAUGAGUCUAAUGAUUCUAUUCGUAAACAAGAAUUAUUGAGUUAUGGUUAUGGCCUCGACCAGCAAUUCGAUCACUUCCCCUUCAGAUAUUCUAUCAAACCACGGCCUCAUCGACAAGAUUCAAUCCUGGCUUCACCGAGCCACGAAAUUUCGAGAUUAGAAUCACUUUCUAAUGCCUCGCAUCGUUCACCAUUACAAUUUUCAUACCAAAAAUUGCGACAGGCAAGUGGAGCAAAUGGAGGAGAGUGGCGAACAUGACGGUGAAUAAAAUAUCGAGAGAUCGAGGUAAAUUGUCGGAUUCGCAGAUAUUUAUCUAGAUAAAUGCUCCGGACAAAUUAGGGAACAGGAUUAUGACGUUUUAAAGUUUACAUUUCAAACUAUUUGUCAAAAAUUAAUUUACAGUUUCACUGAAUUUCUUGGUACGAUUUGUAUUUUUUUUUAUUUUUGUGUUUCCACUCGAAAUGGGAAAACAUCUUUAUGGGUGAAAAUUCUAAGAAGUUGGGGUUUGAUGGGUUUGCUCUGUUAUCUUGGGCAUAAACAGAGGUGCAGGAGUGGGACCACUGUGAGUCAUCAGGUUCAAGGUGUUGUGGCAGUUUCGUCUUGCAAGUGACUUCCUCUAAGAAAACGACCAGAGCUGUUGUGCCUUUCGAGCGUAUUAAAUAAAAGAGAAUAAUAUUAUAAUAUUCAAAUGUUUAGAAUUAUUAUAACUGUCCCAUUUAUAAUGUCGUAAAAAUACUACGAUAAUCCCUUCAUUAAACCGAUUGUAUUAUUGGAUGCAAUUCCGUAUUGUAGUGAGCACGGACACAUAGUUAGAAGCUGAUAGUCAAAGGUGACUUAUCUCAUUCUGCUACUUCACUACUGAUUUGUGCUUCUGCAUUAUCUUCCUUUAUCUUUCCGUUAUUGUUAUUGUUACAUAAUAACAAUUCAACAAUAAUCCAUGGACAAAGAUCAGUUCAGUGGGACACCUCUCCGAUGCCUCACAAUUUCAAUGACGAACCAAAGAGAUGCCGAUUGCGAGAUAAACAACCCCAUUGGGGUUCAAUCGAUGUCAGUGACCGUCUCAAGCCGGGGUACGCAUGCGAGGCCACGAAAUACGACGGGAUACUUUUUAGAGAACAACACGACGUAGUUAAAAAUCAUCGGCUCCAUCACGCGCAUCAUGAAAAAAAUAUAACUAUACGUCUUUUAUAUUUUUCGACUGAGAGUUUUUGGUACGCGCUGGACAAGGAGGAGGAGACCGUUAUUUACAUAAUCGUCGAGUAACGGUAAUGAAAUCCCCCGAUGAGGAUUGGACUGGGAGGAUUACAGUCGUGGCCAUAAAUUUUCUGAUUAUGAGAAUGACAAAGGGAAUCAACAUUUGUCAAAGGAAAAAAAAUAUUCCGUUGAAAUUCAUUGAAAAUAAAUUAUUCUGGAAUUAUUCCGUCCCGUCUUAUUAGUUAUUGACGAUCUACAGUGGAUAGUAUCAAUUAUAUAAAUUUUAAAUAAUUGUUCUUACAUUGUCUGCCACUUUUUAAUUAAAUAUUAUCAUUACAAACAAAUAUAUUGAUGUUCCUGAGGAGCAGAAUGAGAGGAAAUAUCGAUAAAUGAGACGAUCAAUAUAUUGAUCAAUAUAUUUACCUAUAGGUAAAUAAUUAAAUAAAUAUUCGAAGGGGAAACUGCAUCAGGUGGACCCACACCCCUACCUUGUUAUGUUUAAAUAAUAAAAUUAUAGUUAUAGUAAAAUGAAUUGAUAGACUCACGUUGUUUCAGUCACAAUGGCGCGUGAAACAGAUUGAUAAACACCUCGAUCGCAAUCGUUGGCGACUUCCCUCAUAGAUACAAAUCUUAUUCAUUCCCUUCCGGCGCACGCGCUCCGCCAGCACUUCCGACGGCUCUUUCUCAUGAAUUUCCGAUCGAUCGAGUUUAUGAUGAAGAAAAAUAGUGUUACCGAGAGUGAAGCGAAGAGAGCUGGCUUGAAAGAGGGUAAAUACAAUUUUUUACAACCCGAGGAAGUACCACUAUGGAUUUGUCUUAUCGGAGGUGAAACAGUGGCGGUGCAAUCCUCGACGAGCUGUGCACUUGGAGUGCCGAUAAAUCGACAAGCACGAUAUCGAGAAUUAUCGGGUAAGUGCUCACAGGCUUCUGCACACGUGCGAAGUACAAUGGGGAGCGGGGAAAAUUGAGAAAGAUCAAUGAAAAAUUGAUCCUGAGGACUGCAACAUUAUUUUCCGGAGUAAAGCACUGAUUUUUUAAUUUUAAAAUUGAUUAACAACCGGUAUUUCCUUAAAAAAUUGAGUAUGGAUGAAUUUGGAAAAUUAAAAAUCAGUUUUUUGACGAAUUAACCAACAAUAAAUAUUGCGAAAACAUCUCCGACCACGGCAGACUUUAAUUCGCAACUAUUUGUGGUCAUUUGAUUACGAAAUAUCGGACUGUGGUCGUCAGGAAUGCGUGAAAAAUAACACACGAGAGGUGUGUGCGUCAAAUCAAUAAAUAAAUAAACUAAUCACAUGCAUUCUUUCACGCAAAAAGUCUCCCACUGCCUCACGCAUUCUGUUUUGCAAUAAAUUCCAUUAGUCAGAAGAUAUGCGAAAGACGAUCCAACAAAGAAUUUUUUCCACGUAAAAACUGACUCUCUUAUUUAGCAUUGACCGAAGUAUGAAUUGAUUAAUUAUAUCGCUCGUAAAGAAAAAUUUCUGUAAAAUUUUUCUUCGAAAAAAUGACGCACCGAUUUUCUACGCAGUCUCACGUUCCGUAAUUUUUCAUGAAUAUUUUCUCCGCGUGUCACAAACCUCCGAAGUAAAAAAAAAAAACUUUCACCGGACGCUCCACCCGACAAUUUCACGCACAUACAUUUUGCGAAAAAUCCUCCGACACUCGCGAGUGAGAGACAGUCAAGAGUUCAAAGACCGUUGGGGUUGACAAACGAUUAGGGAGAAACUCGUUGUUUCUCUCCCUGUAUUUUUUUCCUUCGUCGGGUUUUGUUAGGGAGCGCUUCCUUGAGAGCGUCGAGAUCAACAUUCUGCAAUGUAAAUUACCGCAGCGCGGAGAGAUCACUGUUAUUGCUCCUCGCAGGAAAUAAAUUCCCUGGUCCUUCCGGUUUCUCAUAAAAAUUGUUAAUUAAUUAUUAUUCUGAUCUGUUCUCGGGAUUCGAUUGAAAGGGGGAAGUGUCCAAAUGUUUUUUUUUUCUUUGAUGAUUUAUUUCGGCGCAUCUGCAUCUACGUAAUUAUCAACUAUUUAUAGAUAAAAUGGAUACAAUGAGGAAAGAAAAAUGAAUAUGUAAAAGGAAAUGCAUGAAUAAAUGAAUAAGUAGGUGCUGUAAGUGAAAUAUUGAAAGUAAUAUUGUGCUCUGCAAUUUAUAUCAAUUUUUUCCACGAUUUCUAAAAUGCAAAUGGUGAUUUGAGAAUAAACUUUAAUUCUCAAGGAAAUUGUCGGUUUGCGGACUAUUUUUUAACCAAAAAAAUUCAUGAGAAAAUUUUAAAUAUAUUAUUUUUUAUUUUAU